UGCAUGUCUGAGCAUGCGAGUCAUUGUAGCAUACAAGGCAUACGGCUCAGUAACGCGUAGUCAACCUAACCUAUGGACGGGAAUAACCUCGGGAAACUGAGAAUAAUGCCCGAUAGAACACUAUACCUGGAAUGGUUUGUGUUCCAAAUGAUUUAUCGCCAUAGGAUGGGACUGCGGCCUAUCAGUUUGUUGGUGAGGUAAUGGCCCACCAAGACUAUUACAGGUACGGGCUCUGAGAGGAGUAGCCCGGAGAUGGGUACUGAGACACGGACCCAGGCCCUAUGGGGCGCAGCAGGCGAGAAAACUUUGCAAUGUGCGAAAGCACGACAAGGUUAAUCCGAGUGAUUUGUGCUAAACGAAUCUUUUGUUAGUCCUAGAAACACUAACGAAUAAGGGGUGGGCAAGUUCUGGUGUCAGCCGCCGCGGUAAAACCAGCACCUCAAGUGGUCAGGAUGAUUAUUGGGCCUAAAGCAUCCGUAGCCGGCUCUGUAAGUUUUCGGUUAAAUCUGUACGCUUAACGUACAGGCUGCCGGGAAUACUGCAGAGCUAGGGAGUGGGAGAGGUAGACGGUACUCGGUAGGAAGUGGUAAAAUGCUUUGAUCUAUCGAUGACCACCUGUGGCGAAAGGCGGUCUACCAGAACACGUCCGACGGUGAGGGAUGAAAGCUGGGGGAGCAACCCGGAUUAGAUACCCGGUAGUCCCAGCUGUAACUAUGCAACCUCAGUGAUGCAUGCUUGUGCCAUGGCAGUGCUGCAACGGAAGGUCGU
rnacentral:rRNA from 1 species